AAGAUCCAUAGGAUUGGAUCCAUAGAAACAUAGAGCAACUCUAUGUGGACGGAGAGAAACCUUUUAAGAGUUUAUCGGAAAUAUGUUACAGUAUGCCGGAAAGAAUUUCGGUAAUGAUGAUUAUGUUUGCGUUUUGAGGGAGUUUUGGCUUAUGAGAUUGGAAUUUAUGGUAUGAGCUACGAUGGCUCACCUUGCUUUUAAUAUGAGAUUGCCAUCACAGAAUUUUGCAAUGUCCAGUCCUUGUAGCAUCUCAUGGGUUUGCAGCACGCGGUAUCAAGGUACUAAGUUGCUUCAACAACACCCACUUUGUUAUCCUUGCUUAUCUCUUUCUGGUAAGAAUUUGAGAGCUCUAUGUGUGAACAGUAAACUGAUAGGCAAUGAAAGAGUAGUGUUGAAUACACCACCUUCCAGCAAAGAAGAGGCAGUUCAACAAGUAAAGGAAUGUCUCUACACUCUUUUGGAGAAGCCCUUGAAGAAUCUGGGUUCUUCUUCUGUGAAGCAGAGAAAACUGAGACAGGUCAAACUUCAAGUAGAAAUACCCAUUAUAGAUGAUUCCCCUUCUGCUCUCACCUCUCUGGUUGCCGAUAUCCUUGGUGGGUUUUCAUUCAAAAGGAAAGGGCAACCCACAAGAGUUGCAGUAUUUUGGUCAGAUUCUUCCAUGGCAGAGUUGGGCAGCCAGGCUUUCAAAAAUCUUGAAUAUGUAAAGAGCUUGGAUCUUUCAGAUCCAGACAAAGGAAGGGCAAUUAUUAAGGGUUCAGAUGUUGUGUUCUUUGUUGGUUCAGCGAUUUCACAAUGGUCUUCCAUGGAGUCUUUAUCUAAGGAGGCUGCCCCAUGCCCUGUGGUUCUCUUCAAUCCUAAUUGGUCUCCAGAAGAGGAAGAAGAAAAGAAUAUAAAUAGGUUUUUGUCGUCCUUUGAGACUGUCUAUUCAUUAACUGCUUUAGCAAUCCAGGGGUUCUUCAGCAAGACAGAAGGGGCAGUUUUCAAAUAUGCCACAAGUGAUGCUUCCAAAAGCAAGCCAUGGCUCAUUUUUAUCAAAGAGGAAGGCAAAUACAAGUGUGUUUCAAGCUUCCAAAAAAGACCAGGUGUAAGUGAGCUUGAGAAUGCCCUUUACAAUUCAAUUGGACUUAACUCCCCUGUCACCAAGUCAAUCAAGUUUCUCAGAGGCCUCAUUUCUGGCACAAAUAGAAAGAAAUAAGCCGGGGACUGAACGUGUUGGUCAGAAUAAGCACAGGCAGGGCUUGAGCCUGGUUCUCACUAGUUUGACUUGUUGCUUCAAAAAAACUUGCACGCAUUCAAAAUAACCUCUAUUUGGGCUUGUGGCAAACUACUGGACCUAGAACACAGAACUGGAUGCGGGGUAUUUAUCAACAUCCCACUGAGCUUGUAUGUACUACAAGCAGUUUUUCUGCGCUUACCUAUCUCUAUGUAAUUUUGAAAACUAGUAGACAGGAAAGCAUUUGUUAGAGCAUCUGCUAUCAUUUCUCUCAAGUACAGGACUUACACUUCUUUUUGAGCUACUUCAUUUCUUUAAUAGUGAUAUCGGAAAUCUAAAUGGUUGGUUCUACCAUAGACUGUGGGAUUUUGGGAUUUUUAAAUAUGGUAAUAAAAAAUUUAUCAAUAAAUUCAUUCUAAGACUGAAUAGCCAUUUCCCAAUCUAACACUGGUUUGAAGUUUGAUGGAUUUCUCUCGAGCCAUACUAACUGUUUUGGUGCUUUGAUGCUGAAAGAUUUCAGCUCCAACUUUUGAUCUACAAAAGCUGGCUGCUUUUCAGUCGUUGUAACAAGAAAUAAUAGCCGUCUAGUGACCUUUUAUUGUUGAUAUAUCUUGUCCAGUCAGCGUCAUAAAAACAUGCCACUUAUUGUAACUCAUUUGUAACCCAUUAAAGGUGGGAUCCUAAUCAUUUGUUCCUUAAAAAUAUGCUAGAACUUUGCUUCACAGCCUAUCAAUUCUGCUUACCUGUAUUUGUCUUAAACUGCCUAAUGGCUCUGGUCUAGUUCUAAUUUUUGGAUACAUAAGACUCCACAGCCACCACUACCUUUCGAUAGGGAACUAAUCUCUCCAUGGCUAUGUUAAAUGAUGUGUUUUUAAGAGUGUAUUAAUGAAUAAAUUGAUUUUUACAUAUA